CUGGCAUGGCUUCACACAGAACUAUGGGGUCCCUCUCCCCAAGGCAGCCAAGAGGAAGGCACGGAGGGAGACAAGCCUUUCUAAGGAAGUGCUUUUACAAGAAAAUGACUGUGAUACCAACAAGCAUCUGGCCUAACAUUUUAAGACAUGGGCCACUGGUUGGACUUAAUUUGGGGGUGUAUUAUUUCAAGGUGCUGAUUGUGACUGCUUCUGGACUCAAAAUUUAAAUGUUGGGCAUCUAGAGCCUUUCCUAUGGCAGAAAUCCUAUGUGGCCUGAAGACUUGCUCUCAGAAGCAGCAGCUGAUUGUUGCAUGUUUUCUCUAGUGCUAGCCCCUGCAGUUUCACUGCUGCCAGCUAAUUCAUGUUCAUACAGCUUUAGCACCCGGAGGCCCCUCAGGGUGAGGACAUCUCUGCAUGAGGUGCUCUACAACGCCCUGCGUGGGCUCAGGAUCUUGCAAUUUCAGGGUCUUCUUCAAAGUGCCUCAAUAAGGAGGGGAAACCUUUCAGCACUUUUUGUGAGGCUAGGUUAUGCUCCAGGCAAAGGUGUGUCAGUGUACUUGGCUCCUUCUCAUCUCAUUGUGCCCAGCAGUCACAGGAGCCCACAGAGCAAUCAAUCACCCACCUUUGGGGAAUAACCAGUCUUGGCCGCAGCUCCAACAGAGAACGUCACAGUGCUCAGUGGGAGCAAACUUGUGUACAGUACUCAAAUAACCGAGGUGUCCAGCACAACUCCUCAUUAGAGCUGGAAUGAGGGAUUGUUCAAGUGCUUUUUGAAGGAGCUAAUGAGGUUUGGCAUUCAGAUCAGCUUAUUCCCAACUCUUGAUUUGCUUCCCUGGGUAAGCUGCUGCUUGUGGUAACUCUUGUUUCAUGGUUGAGUGGCCUGCUCUGCUGAGAAGCAGCCAUUGCAGGAGCUUUUGAUAGGGGCACUGAGCUUUUGAGACCUUCCAAAUGAAAGCUGAGUGCAGAACUUGUAAAAGAGCAUCACGUGGGUGAUGCUUUUCAUGUUACAUCUUUUGUCUGUGCUCCUUGCCAUGCACAG